GGUUCUGAUGCUUUGAUGGGGCCUGGGGGGUUCUGCAUGUAACGCUGAAGGCCCUGUUCUCCAAUUGGUUCUUUAUCGAUCAAUAAAGAUGCUACUGGCCAAUGCUGGGUGGAAGAGGCGGGACUUCCUGGUUCCAGUAGGCUUGCUAGAAGACGCAGGAGGAGAAAGGGAUUCCCCACGCUUCAGAGAUUUUAUACAAAGACACAAAGAGAGGAAAUAAAACAGAAGAAGAAAUGAAGGGAAAGAGCACAAAAUUUGAGGAAAACAUCCAAUCGAAAUGUUUUUAGAUCAACUCUGUAGCUCACAGAGAGUGUCCGCUCCAGCCUGUUGCAGUUUUCUCUGAUGUGGCAUCUAUCGCUUCUCUACUGAUUUUUGGGGAAAGCUGGUCUUCAGAACCCUGGGCAUGCACAAAGACUGGAUCUGGGAAACACCAGGUGGAAGAGAAAAAUCCCUGGAAUUUACUUUUUAUGAAGAAAAUUGAAGUAAUACUGUACAAGUGGCUCAAGGGGACAAGCUCGCAACAGUCCAGCUGGCAUUCUUGCCAGGUAUUUUUAUAAACUACAGAGUUUCCAUCAGUUGGGGACUGAGUAAAGCUCAGCUGAAGGGUCUGUCAGUAUCUCCGUGUCAAAGGGACAUGUCAUACACCGAGGACGUCUCCAUCCAUGUUGCCUUCCAAGCCUUUAAGAGUCUUCUUUGGGAGACAAGAGCACUUUAAGCUCCCGCUCCUUUGGUGUAUCUGGCUUUACUCUCCGUCUUUUCUUCUUGCAUAACAAAGCAAUUUUUACUGGUUUGUGGGACAUCCACAAAGGAGAAAGAUAUUUUAACUUGAUAAUAAAAAGCAAAUAAGAGGAAACAAAAACAAGCAAUUAAGGGGAAAAAAAAGUUUCCUUCCCAGUCAAAAAUUUCCUUACAAAACAUUCAGAAAACUUCCCACACAAUCAAUACCUUACUUAUCUUGGUUUUCAAAGACCUUAGCUUUUGUAAGAAAUGUUAUAAACGUAUAUUAAAGCACAAGACUUGAGCCACCAUCAAUGUCAGGAGGUAAUGUUGGGGG
rnacentral:sRNA from 1 species